rnacentral:rRNA from 1 species
GAGUUUGAUCUUGGCUCAGAUUGAACGCUGGCGGCAUGCCUUACACAUGCAAGUCGAACGGCAGCAUGAUCUAGCUUGCUAGAUUGAUGGCGAGUGGCGAACGGGUGAGUAAUACAUCGGAACGUGCCCUGUAGUGGGGGAUAACUAGUCGAAAGAUUAGCUAAUACCGCAUACGACCUGAGGGUGAAAGUGGGGGACCGCAAGGCCUCAUGCUAUAGGAGCGGCCGAUGUCUGAUUAGCUAGUUGGUGGGGUAAAGGCCCACCAAGGCGACGAUCAGUAGCUGGUCUGAGAGGACGAUCAGCCACACUGGGACUGAGACACGGCCCAGACUCCUACGGGAGGCAGCAGUGGGGAAUUUUGGACAAUGGGCGAAAGCCUGAUCCAGCAAUGCCGCGUGUGUGAAGAAGGCCUCGGUGU